rnacentral:rRNA from 1 species
UACCAGCUCUCCGAGUGGUGUGGAUGUUUAUUUGGCCUAAAGCAUCCGUAGCUGGCUGGGCAAGUCCCCUGUUAAAUCCACCGAUUUAAUCGUUGGAAUGCGGGGGAUACUGUUCGGCUAGGGGACGGGAGAGGCAGACGGUAUUUUCGGGGUAGGGGUGAAAUCCUAUAAUCCCGGGAAGACCACCAGUGGCGAAGGCUGUCUGCUAGAACGCGCCCGACGGUGAGGGAUGAAAGCUGGGGGAGCGAACCGGAUUAGAUACCCGGGUAGUCCCAGCUGUAAACGAUGCAGGCUAGGUGUUUGGGCGGCUACGUGCCGCUCUAGUGCCGCAGGGAAGCCGUUAAGCCUGCCGCCUGGGGAGUACGGCCGCAAGGCUGAGACUUAAAGGAAUUGGCGGGGAGCACCACGAAGGGGUGAAGCUUGCGGUUU